ACUAACCACUAUACGAUCACGGCGAGCUAGAGGGCAGCUGCUUUAGCGCCCACUCUUACCGCUUUUCCUUGCCUCCGUAACAUUGACGUCCCGGGAGCCUGGGUACUAAAGCACCAUACGCAGUGGUGAACCCAGACCACAUACCCGAGACAUGUCGGUCGACCAGUUCAAGAAGGAGGCCUUAACUUUUCAACUGUACGUGAUACCUGCAGGAACGUGUGUCCCACCUGGAGCCAAGAAACGACUCGCAAUUGCCCUCCGUCUAGCAGGCUGCAUCCCUGGCCAUUCAAAAGCAAGCACUUUGCACGAACUAAACAUCUUCGUUAAGGCCAAGGACAAUAUCUUAAUAUACACGAAUUGUAAGGAAGUGACUUUUGGUGAUUGAAAAAAAGCCAUAAGUAGACUUGGUUACAGGAUUACACAAUGACUUUAAUUCAU